AUUCAACUGACGAGUUCCAAAUAGAAAGAAACGCACGCCCUGAAU
rnacentral:hammerhead_ribozyme from 1 species